rnacentral:rRNA from 1 species
GAUGAACGCUGGCGGCGUGCCUAAUACAUGCAAGUCGAGCGAACGGACGAGAAGCUUGCUUCUCUGAUGUUAGCGGCGGACGAGUGAGUAACACGUGGAUAACCUACCUAUAAGACUGGGAUAACUGCGGGAAACCGGAGCUAAUACCGGAUAAUAUUUUGAACUGCAUGGUUCAAAAGUGAAAGACGGUCUUGCUGUCACUUAUAGAUGGAUCCGCGCUGCAUUAGCUAGUUGAUAAGGUAACGGCUUACCAAGGCAACGAUGCAUAGCCGACCUGAGAGCCUGAUCGGCCACACUGGAUCUGAGACACGGUCCAGACUCCUACGGGAGCCAGCGGUACGUACUCUUCCGCAAUGGGAGAACACCUGACCGAGCAACGCCGCGUGAGUGAUGAAGGUCUUCGGAUCCUAAAACUCUGUUAUAAGGGAAGAACAUAUGUGUAAGUAACUGUGCACAUCUUGACGUUACCUAAUCAGAAGGCCACGGCUAACUCCGUG